rnacentral:rRNA from 1 species
UACGUAGGGAGCAAGCGUUGUUCGGAUUUACUGGGCGUAAAGGGCGCGUAGGCGGCAGAUCAAGUCAGCUGUGAAAUCUCCGAGCUUAACUCGGAACUGUCAGCUGAUACUGUUUUGCUAGAGUGCGGAAGGGGCAAUCGGAAUUCUUGGUGUAGCGGUGAAAUGCGUAGAUAUCAAGAGGAACACCUGAGGUGAAGACGGGUUGCUGGGCAGACACUGACGCUGAGUGCGCGAAAGCCAGGGGAGCAAACGGG